CUUGAAUUAACCCGACACGGGAUCCGAAUAGUGUAUUCGGGUCACAUUGUUCCUUCCAUAUUUAAGGCUUCAAACCGUUGAUUUUUUCCAUUUAUUCUUCUCCUCUCAUCCUAGGGUUUCUCUCUUCUAUCAUAUGUUUCUCUCUUCUCCUUCUGCAUCACUCAAUCUGCUCUUGGAGACAUCUUCAAUAUCAAUCUCUUAUUCUUCUGCAAGCUUCCUCUCUCAUUCUCAAACGUCUGAUAAGGUAAAUCAAAUAUGUUCUUUGUAGAUCCAACAUAAAUUUUGCAAUAUAUAUUGAUGAUUCUUCAUGCUUGAAUACUUAUUUUGUGUUUUGAUUUCUCAGUUGUUCCAUAUUAUUACUCAAUCUAGAUCUUCCCAUGUUAUUCAUCUUCAUUUUAUAUCAAUCAGUUAUAGAUCCAAAUGAAUCAAGUUUUUGAUAUUGAAGGAAGAAAUUUUUAGGGUUUCACAUCUCAUUCUCAAUCGGCUAACAUCAAGGUAAUCUUAGGGUUUCACAUCUCAUUCUCAUCAGGUACGAUCCAGAUUUGUUUGUUCUUUAACAUAUAUUGUUGAUUUUUUGUUUAAAAUUUCCCCAUUGACUGAUUGUUCUAUUCUCUAAUUUCAUCAUUAAUCCCUUUUUAGUUGGUGUUGUUGGAGUGGUUUAUACGUUAUGAAUUGUGUGUCUGAAUCUAAAAGAGAAAAUCCUAAUUUCGUUUUCUUAAUGUGUAGAUUCCUUUCAUUUUAUUUACUUUAAUCGAUGAUUUAAAUGCUUAUUUAACCUUACUUGAAUGGCCGAUCAUCUUUUUUUUUCCAUUUUAUUUGGUGUAGUUGAUGACAUUGAAGGCUUAUGUAACCCUAAUUGAUUUGCCGAUUUCUAAACAAUUUCUUUUGUCUAAUUUUUACAGGGAAGCAGGUUAUGUGCUUGAAGGUAUGCCUCACUUAACUGAUCCACUCAGGCAAGCUUUUUAUUGAGCUGAAAACUAAGAGCUAUGUAUGGGAAGAUGGAUGAUAUUAUCGACGUGAUGAAUAAGUAAAUGGUUGAUCUGGUUAGGAACUGUAACCUAUAUAUGUGUUUUGAUGAAGAACACGGGCACAAAUUUAGAAAUAUGUAAUGUCAAUUCAACAAACGCCGUCGCCAAAAUUGAUGCAUCUAAAGUCGUUGCAAAGGUAUAAGCGGAAGAGUAAUUGCUUCUAUAAGUUUGUGUCUUAUCAAGUUAUAGAUUGAAUGUGUUUUUCUUUGAUAUCUUCUUCACUGCAAGUUCUCGGCUCUCUUUGUUCGCGGUCUCCUCCAAUCAGUUGCAAAGUGUUCGUGGAAAGCAAUGGUCUAGAAUAAAAGCUUACGAAAGCAAGCCCAUGUCAAGUCAUUUUCUACUCUGGAGAGAAAAGUGUAGGUGCGAUGCAAACAUCGGUUAGAGCUUGAUGAGAAGGAUAAGAAAAGCACUUGAUAAGCAGCUUGAAUUUCAUCUAGGGCAAACGGAAAGUGUUCAUGAACCGGAAGGAAAGGAUAUAAGUUUUCAUGUUCUUGAGUUGCAAAGAAACAGAUAUGACCCAUUACCAUGUCCGAUUUGCCAGAACCAUGGUGUGCGGUGUGCCAAUGGAGCUCCUCGAGUCACUUAAAGCUGCAACUCACAAGUAUUUUGCUCAAACGGGUGAAAAAAGGUUAUGUAUCUCAAAGGGAGAGCUUAAGUUGGUGGAUAUCAUUGAAAGCCAUAUGUAUAUGUAUGUUCUUCUGAAUCUGUUGGCAAUCAAUGAAGAGAAACUAAGCCACGCUUGGCCUGACCGAGUUAUGUGUGGUACUUCUAGACCUGUUUUAGAGCAUGUUGCACUCAAAGAUUCAACAAGGGAAAAGUUUUGAAGUAUAAAGAUGAGUUAUAGUGAAGACCGUUAUUUAAUUCUGACGUGGGAGUACUCGAACCACAAUACAUAUUUAUAAUGAUGAUGAAAAAGUGUUAAGCGUAAUUUAGUUAUUCAGUGCUUUUAGAAUAGUUGUAAUGUUUAUAUAUUUGACUUCAUAGGUGUUGGGUUUGGUUGUGGUAUCUUUUUUUUAUAAUUCUUUAUUUUUAUACAC